rnacentral:rRNA from 1 species
CCCACCACCAUCUCUCUCCUCUCCUCUGCUCCCUUCCUCUGUCCCUCUCGCACAGCAGAAGAGAACUCCUACCCUCCGGUGAGUCAGCACUGAGCUCGGCUCCCUGCUCCGUCAGCUGCUCUCCGGCGGCUGGCACCGGGAGCGGCGUUUUCCUUCAGGCAGGGGGUUAACUAAUUUGGGCGUCCUGAGAUCACAGAUGGCCGCAGCGGUGGCUGACGCGGCGGUGCCGGCGGUGGCGAAGGCGAACGGCGCCGGGGCGGGGUGCUGCGCGGCGAAGGGCCCCGGGUACGCCACGCCCAGGGAGGCCAUGGAGAAGGGCCCGCGGGAGGGGCUCCUCUACGUCACCUGCGUCUACAAUGGUACUGGAAUCAACAAGCCGGAUUACCUGGCUACAGUGGACGUCGACCCCAAUUCAGCGACCUACUCCCAGGUGAUCCACAGGCUCCCGGCCACCCACAUCGGCGACGAGCUGCAUCACUCCGGCUGGAACGCUUGCAGCUCCUGCCAUGGUGAUCCAUCCACGAGCCGGCGCUUCUUGAUUCUCCCUUCGUUGCUGUCUGGUCGCGUGUAUGUGGUCGACACUGCAAAGGAUCCGAGGGCGCCUGCUCUGCACAAGGUUGUCCAGGCUGAGGACAUUGCUGAGAAGACCGGGCUUGGGUUCCCUCACACAUCCCAUUGCCUUGCAACUGGGGAUAUCAUGAUUUCCUGCCUGGGAGACAAGGAGGGCAAUGCUGCUGGCAAUGGCUUUCUCCUGUUGGAUUCAGAGUUUAACGUCAAAGGGCGUUGGGAAAAGCCAGGUCACAGCCCCUUGUUUGGCUAUGAUUUCUGGUACCAGCCUCGUCACAAGACGAUGAUUAGCUCUUCAUGGGGAGCUCCGGCAGCUUUCAGGACAGGUUUCGAUCUCCAGCAUGUCCAGGAUGGUCUCUAUGGAAGGCACCUGCAUGUGUAUGACUGGCCUGGUGGUGAGCUCAAGCAGACACUGGAUCUAGGCAGCACAGGUCUUCUUCCACUGGAGGUGAGGUUUUUACAUGACCCAUCAAAGGACACUGGCUAUGUUGGCUGUGCUUUGACAAGCAACAUGGUGAGAUUCUUCAAAACUGCAGAUGGAUCAUGGAGCCAUGAGGUAGCUAUAUCCAUAGAGCCACUGAAGGUGCGCAACUGGAUGCUGCCAGAAAUGCCAGGAUUGAUAACUGACUUUGUCAUCUCUCUCGAUGACCGUUAUCUCUACUUGGUCAACUGGCUUCAUGGGGAUAUCAGGCAGUACAACAUUGAGGACCCUGCAAAGCCUGUGUUGGCUGGGCAAGUAUUUGUAGGUGGGCUUCUUCAAAAGGGCAGUGAUGUUGUCUAUGUGACCGACGAUGACAAAGAAGAGCAGUAUGCUGUGCCCCAAGUCAAGGGGCACCGGCUUAGAGGUGGGCCGCAGAUGAUUCAGCUGAGCUUGGAUGGCAAGAGGGUCUAUGUAACCAACUCUCUCUUCAGCCGAUGGGACGAGCAGUUCUAUGGCCCUGACCUUCUCAAGAAGGGAUCUCACAUGUUGCAGAUCGACGUCGACACCGAGGAAGGAGGGCUGACUGUCAACCCCGACUUCUUUGUGGAUUUUGGCACCGAGCCUGAAGGUCCCUCAUUGGCCCAUGAAAUGAGAUAUCCUGGGGGAGACUGCACCUCUGACAUAUGGAUCUAGGACGAAGGGUGUAGGGUGCAUAUGCAGCUGGAGAUCCAUGGUGUUAAGCUCACUGUAAUUAAGAUGGUUUCUUCCCUGCCUGCGGUGUUGUAUGUGAUGUGGUAUCAAUUGGAAUAAGUUCCUGAUAGAACCUCUGACAUUGGCUUCAUGGGAGCUUGUGCCCUAAUAAGAGUUGCCUCUGAUUCUGAAAUUUCUGAUGCUUUUGUAGGCCUUAUAUCUUCUGCUUGAAAUGUUCUAAACGAGAAUGAUUAAGCUGGAAGCAAAGUAACACAUGCAAUAGCCAUAUACAGUAUUAACCAGAGAUAUAAUGCUAUUUCACCAAAAUCAAAUAGUAUUUCUUGCAACCAACAGCAUGCAUGGUCUUGUAACCAAAAUUAUGUAUGUCAGUUGAUUGCUCUGCACCCGACGUACUGCCUCAGGGUAGUCGGGGUGGAUCUCCUUGUAGUUCGAAGGUAUUAGCUUACUAGUGCCUGUUUG